rnacentral:lncRNA from 1 species
CCUGGGGUAAUCUGGUGCGCCUAGCUUGGUAUUCUAGGACUGUCGUAGAUCCUUCUUCUCUUCGGUGCCAAGUUUCCCUUAUAUGUCCACCUUCUUGACUGGCCCCUGAACUUUAAUAGCUUUUAGAGAGGGAGGAAUUGUAAUUUUUUUUUAUUUUCAAGCGGAGAGUACGUCUCUAAUUGCUCUUUUCUUUCUCCUAACCAACACUGUAGGAGUGUGUGGCUCCC